GCGUGCCUAAUACAUGCAAGUCGAACGCACUCUCGUUAGAUUGAAGAAGCUUGCUUCUGAUUGAUAACAUUUGAGUGAGUGGCGGACGGGUGAGUAACACGUGGGUAACCUGCCCUAAAGUGGGGGAUAACAUUUGGAAACAGAUGCUAAUACCGCAUAAAACCUAGCACCGCAUGGUGCAAGGUUGAAAGAUGGUUUCGGCUAUCACUUUAGGAUGGACCCGCGGUGCAUUAGUUAGUUGGUGAGGUAAAGGCUCACCAAGACCGUGAUGCAUAGCCGACCUGAGAGGGUAAUCGGCCACACUGGGACUGAGACACGGCCCAGACUCCUACGGGAGGCAGCAGUAGGGAAUCUUCCACAAUGGACGAAAGUCUGAUGGAGCAACGCCGCGUGAGUGAAGAAGGUUUUCGGAUCGUAAAACUCUGUUGUUGGAGAAGAACGUAUUUGAUAGUAACUGAUCAGGUAGUGACGGUAUCCAACCAGAAAGCCACGGCUAACUACGUGCCAGCAGCCGCGGUAAUACGUAGGUGGCAAGCGUUGUCCGGAUUUAUUGGGCGUAAAGCGAGCGCAGGCGGUUUCUUAAGUCUGAUGUGAAAGCCUUCGGCUCAACCGAAGAAGUGCAUCGGAAACUGGGAAACUUGAGUGCAGAAGAGGACAGUGGAACUCCAUGUGUAGCGGUGAAAUGCGUAGAUAUAUGGAAGAACACCAGUGGCGAAAGCGGCUGUCUGGUCUGUAACUGACGCUGAGCUCGAAAGCAUGGGUAGCAA
rnacentral:rRNA from 1 species